rnacentral:tRNA from 1 species
UCCUUGGCAGUUCAGUGGUUAAGACUCUGAGCUCCCAACACAGAGGGCAUGGGUUCAAUCCCCGGUCGGGGAA